ACUACGGGAGGCAGCAGUGGGGAAUAUUGCACAAUGGGGGAAACCCUGAUGCAGCGACGCCGCGUGAGUGAAGAAGUAUUUCGGUAUGUAAAGCUCUAUCAGCAGGGAAGAAAAAAGACGGUACCUGACUAAGAAGCCCCGGCUAACUACGUGCCAGCAGCCGCGGUAAUACGUAGGGGGCAAGCGUUAUCCGGAUUUACUGGGUGGAAAGGGAGCGUAGACGGUAUGGCAAGUCUGAAGUGAAAGCCCAGGGCUUAACCCUGGGACUGCUUUGGAAACUGUUAGACUAGAGUGCUGGAGAGGUAAGUGGAAUUCCUAGUGUAGCGGUGAAAUGCGUAGAGAUUAGGAGGAACACCAGUGGCGAAGGCGGCUUACUGGACAGUAACUGACGUUGAGGCUCGAAAGCGUGGGGAGCAAACAGGAUUAGAUACCCCUGUAGUC
rnacentral:rRNA from 1 species